rnacentral:misc_RNA from 1 species
UGUACACUUCCUGGUACAUGUGGAGCUCGCUGGCAAGCCUGUCGUCACUGCCACCCAAAUGCUCGAGUCUAUGAUUAAGUCUCCUCGCCCGACUCGUGCUGAAGCCACUGAUGUAGCCAAUGCCGUUCUUGACGGUACCGACUGUGUUAUGCUUAGCGGUGAAAGUGCAGCUGGAGCGUACCCUGAGAUAGCCGUCAAGGUCAUGGCCAAAAUAUGCAUUGAGGCAGAGUCAUCCCUCGACUAUGAUGCUGUCUUCAAGGAAAUGAUUAGGUCUGCUCCUCUCCCCAUGAGCCCGCUGGA